UGUACCGGGCCAUGGACCAGGGUGUGAUUUGUUAAGGCCCAAUACGAAAAAGCCCAAUGGGAGCAUCUAAAGGAGAAGUGUGAAAACAACCAUGAAAAACACAUGAUAAGCGUGAUCCACCAUGANNNNNNNCUUGGAGAAGAAGGAAGAAGCUUGGAGAAGAAGGAAAGUAACCGCCCACUACCCAUGAAUUCCUCUCCAAGCAAGGCGGUUAUCAAGCAACAAGAGGGAGAUGUUUUGCCUAUAAAUAGGAUCUUCUUUAAGAGAACA
rnacentral:lncRNA from 1 species